rnacentral:sRNA from 1 species
AAAUUUAUAAUUAUGUCAUGCUAAGUCAUUUUGAAUCGCAAUAAGUUAUAACUUAUGUGAUAUAUUUAUAUUUACCGUCUUAACUCAUUUAUUAUAUCAUAUAAAAAAAUUAACGAGUUACUAUAACGUGCAAAAUAUGAAUUUCAUCCAAUAAGAUUAUUAUUGUCACUACCUCUAGAUAAAGUAUUAGUUAACUCGGUAAUUUGAUUGUUAACCAAUUUGAACUGAAUCUGAACAAAAACUAUCAUUGUCGUAAUCUUCACAGGUACAGUGGUAUGGCAAUAAGAAUAGUUAUAUAAUAUAGAGGUAUUAUUGUAUUUGCCACAAAAAUAGUGUAAGAUAAACAGUAGAAAAAAAUGGACUUAAUUUUCGAUUCUUCCGAGUAAGAAUGAUAAUACCCUUCCCUUUUUUAUUUUGGGAAAGACAACUAUUUUUAUUUUAUUUUCGAAAAUUACACUAUAU